GACAGAGGGUGCAAACGUUGUUCGGAAUUACUGGGCGUAAAGGGCGCGUAGGCGGCAAUUCAAGUCAUCUGUGAAAUCUCCGGGCUUAACCCGGAACGGUCAGGUGAUACUGUUUUGCUAGAGUGCGGAAGGGGCAAUCGGAAUUCUCGGUGUAGCGGUGAAAUGCGUAGAUAUCGAGAGGAACACCAGAGGUGAAGACGGGUUGCUGGGCCGACACUGACGCUGACAGCGCGAAAGCCAGGGGAGCAAACGGG
rnacentral:rRNA from 1 species